rnacentral:rRNA from 1 species
CACGUAGGGCGCAAGCGUUGUCCGGAAUUAUUGGGCGUAAAGAGCUCGUAGGCGGUCUGUUGCGUCCGCUGUGAAAACCCGGGGCUUAACCCCUGGCUUGCAGUGGAUACGGACAGACUAGAGGUAGGUAGGGGAGAAUGGAAUUCCCGGUGUAGCGGUGAAAUGCGCAGAUAUCGGGAGGAACACCAAUAGCGAAGGCAGCUCGCUGGGACGGUACUGACGCUAAGGCGCGAAAGCGUGGGGAGCGAACAGG